rnacentral:rRNA from 1 species
UGAGGAAUAUUGGGCAAUGGGCGCAAGCCUGAUCCAGCCAUGCCGCGUGCAGGAAGAAGCAUCUAUGGUGUGUAAACUGCUUUUGUACGGGAAGAAACACUCCUUCGUGAAGGAGCUUGACGGUACCGUAAGAAUAAGGAUCGGCUAACUCCGUGCCAGCAGCCGCGGUAAUACGGAGGAUCCAAGCGUUAUCCGGAAUCAUUGGGUUUAAAGGGUCCGUAGGCGGUUUAGUAAGUCAGUGGUGAAAGCCCAUCGCUCAACGAUGGAACGGCCAUUGAUACUGCUAGACUUGAAUUAUUAGGAAGUAGCUAGAAUAUGUAGUGUAGCGGUGAAAUGCUUAGAUAUUGCAUAGAAUACCAAUUGCGAAAGCAGGUUACUACUGAUGGAUUGACGCUGAUGGACGAAAGCGUGAGGAGCGAAAA